rnacentral:rRNA from 1 species
GCAAGUCGAGCGGAGUUUUGUUGAAAGCUUGCUUUCACAGGAUUUAGCGGCGGACGGGUGAGUAACACGUAGGCAACCUGCCCCUUAGCCUGGGAUAACUACCGGAAACGGUGGCUAAUACCGGAUAAUUCCUUUCCCCACCUGGGGAGAGGAUGAAAGACGGAGCAAUCUGUCGCUGAGGGAUGGGCCUGCGGCGCAUUAGCUAGUUGGUGGGGUAACGGCUCACCAAGGCGACGAUGCGUAGCCGACCUGAGAGGGUGAACGGCCACACUGGGACUGAGACACGGCCCAGACUCCUACGGGAGGCAGCAGUAGGGAAUCUUCCGCAAUGGGCGCAAGCCUGACGGAGCAAUGCCGCGUGAGUGAUGAAGGUUUUCGGAUCGUAAAGCUCUGUUGCCAGGGAAGAACGUCUUAUAGAGUAACUGCUAUAAGAGUGACGGUACCUGAGAAGAAAGCCCCGGCUAACUACGUGCCAGCAGCCGCGGUAAUACGUAGGGGGCAAGCGUUGUCCGGAAUUAUUGGGCGUAAAGCGCGCGCAGGCGGCUAUUUAAGUCUGGUGUUUAAACCUUGGGCUCAACCUGAGGUCGCACUGGAUACUGGGUGGCUUGAGUGCAUAAGAUGAAAGUGGAAUUCCACGUGUAGCGGUGAAAUGC